UACAGAGGGUGCAAGCGUUAAUCGGAAUGACUGGGCGUAAAGGGCGUGUAGGUGGUUGUAUAAGUUGGUUGUGAAAUCCCUGGGCUUAACCUAGGAAUGGCAACUGGGACUGUAGAGCUAGAGUACGGUAGAGGGUAGUGGAAUUUCCGGUGUAGCGGUGAAAUGCGUAGAGAUCGGAAGGAACACCAGUGGCGAAGGCGGCUACCUGGACUGAUACUGACACUGAGGCGCGAGAGCGUGGGGAGCAAACAGG
rnacentral:rRNA from 1 species